CACAGUUACCAGGCAACAGCCAGGCAUGCUUCUCCCCUCAGUUACCUGGCAACAGUCAGCAUAUCUGUCUUAGAAGAAAAUUCUACUACCAGAGUUACAAGGAAAUUGAAAUCAGACCGUGAUGUGGCCAGUUCCAGCUGCAUGUAUCUCAUAGACAUCUUCUGUUGUCAUCGUUACCACCAUGGCAGACACACGUCAGUACUUGUUCUUGAUGCUUCUCGCUCACCGGAGGGCAAAUCUGUUCUGCUCAUUUGUGAAUCCUGGAAUAUCCCAGGAUAUUUGACAGUGUUUGCCCAGUUCAUAUUUCCUGGAUA